rnacentral:rRNA from 1 species
UACGUAGGGGGCAAGCGUUGUCCGGAAUUAUUGGGCGUAAAGCGCGCGCAGGCGGUUCAUUAAGUCUGGUGUAUAAGCCCGGGGCUCAACCCCGGUUCGCACUGGAAACUGAUGGACUUGAGUGUAGGAGAGGAAAGUGGAAUUCCACGUGUAGCGGUGAAAUGCGUAGAGAUGUGGAGGAACACCAGUGGCGAAGGCGACUUUCUGGCCUAUAACUGACGCUGAGGCGCGAAAGCGUGGGGAGCAAACAGG